GAGACUGCCAGUGAUAAACUGGAGGAAGGUGGGGAUGACGUCAAGUCAUCAUGGCCCUUACGAGUAGGGCUACACACGUGCUACAAUGGCGCAUACAAAGAGAAGCGACCUCGCGAGAGCAAGCGGACCUCAUAAAGUGCGUCGUAGUCCGGAUUGGAGUCUGCAACUCGACUCCAUGAAGUCGGAAUCGCUAGUAAUCGUGGAUCAGAAUGCCACGGUGAAUACGUUCCCGGGCCUUGUACACACCGCCCGUCACACCAUGGGAGUGGGUUGCAAAAGAAGUAGGUAGCUUAACCUUCGGGAGGGCGCUUACCACUUUGUGAUUCAUGACUGGGGUGAAGUCGUAACAAGGUAACCGUAGGGGAACCUGCGGUUGGAUCACCUCCUUACCUUAAAGAA
rnacentral:rRNA from 1 species